rnacentral:rRNA from 1 species
UACGUAGGGGCAAGCGUUGUCCGGAAUCAUUGGGCGUAAAGAGCGUGUAGGCGGUUCGGUAAGUCGGCUGUGAAAGUCCAGGGCUCAACCCUGGGAUGCCGGUCGAUACUGCCGGACUAGAGUUCGGAAGAGGCGAGUGGAAUUCCCGGUGUGAGCGGUGAAAUGCGCAGAUAUCGGGAGGAACACCUAUGGCGAAGGCAGCUCGCUGGGACGUUACUGACGCUGGAGACGCGAAAGCGUGGGGAGCAAACACGG